rnacentral:rRNA from 1 species
GGGGAAUAUUGGACAAUGGGCGCAAGCCUGAUCCAGCCACGCCGCGUGAGUGAUGAAGGCCUUCGGGUCGUAAAGCUCUGUGGGGAGGGACGAACGGCGCCAUGAAGAGUGGCGAUUGACGGUACCUCCCUAGCAAGCACCGGCUAACUUCGUGCCAGCAGCCGCGGUAAUACGAAGGGUGCAAACGUUGCUCGGAAUCAUUGGGCGUAAAGCGCACGUAGGCGGCUUUCUAAGUCGGAUGUGAAAUCCCUCGGCUUAACCGAGGACGUGCAUCCGAAACUGGGAGGCUUGAGUAUGGAAGAGGGUCGCAGAAUUCCCGGUGUAGAGGUGAAAUUCGUAGAUAUCGGGAGGAAUACCAGUGGCGAAGGCGGCGACCUGGGCCAAUACUGACGCUGAGGUGCGAAAGCGUGGGGAGCAAAC